rnacentral:lncRNA from 1 species
CUAGCACCCCGAGGAGACAAAGAAGCUUGAUCGGUUCUUGCUUCGUGUGGAUACCCGUAGAGGCCGGGCACUUGAACGGCUUCAAGCGAACCUUCAUCCAAAACCACGAUCAUCAGUUUGCGGUGAUCAUCUACCCGCACAAGGUGAAGAUCUGAUCUUCUAAUGUUAUUUAAAAGUUUCUAAUCCUUAUCUAUCUACGAACGAUUUUAAACAACGUUCAUGCGAUGAACGGUUGAUCCCGCGCAUGCCUCUUCCGCUGCAUCUGAAUUUUUGAAAUUUUUCUGCGGCAUGGGCGGGUUCCUAAUAAUGGGUUCCUUAAAUUUAGAAAUUCUUUUCCUUAUCCAAUUUUGAUUAUUUGGACUCAUAAUCCUCAUCAAAUAAGGUCUUCUAAUUGAUAUGGAUCAAGCUCAAUCCAAUUUGGUCAAGUUCCAUCAAUUGGGUCAAGCUCAAUCUACUUGGGUUGAACCCAAUCCAAUUAGGUCAAACCCUGAUGCAGCCCAAUUGAAUCCUAUUCAAUUUGGCUCAACCUAAGCCCAAUUACUCAAUCAAAUUGAGUUCAUUAGCAAUCUAAUUGCUAAUUAAUCCUCCAAUAAUUCAAUAAUUAUUUUAAUGCAUCUUUUGCUUAGGAUAAUUUGUCAAUCGAAUUGACCAAUCCCUGAAUGAUUCUUAAUCAUCAAUCAGCCAUUUGAUCAACCUAGAAACUUCUAUGCGUGUGACCCCAUAGGUUCGAACCUAAGCCGGUAGCACAAGAACAACUUCUUGUACCAAUCGAAAUGAUCAUCUAGUAAUGGUACCCGAUGUCCGGAUAGGCCGAAUGAUUGCAAAGCAACAUUCAAGAACCCUUGGACUGUGGUUACCGUAUAAUUCAUCCCUUUGACUCCUAAUGCCAGGAUGACUUAGAGCUCACUGUCAACCCUAGAAUUAGUACAUCCAUUAUGUGAUUAACUUUAGAUAUCCCAUGACUCCUCACUGGGAUUAUCCUGGCCAAGGUUUGCUAAAUUAAUCACAAGACAUUAUCUUCUAUUUCCGGAAGGGGUCAAUUCUAUCUCGACUCACAACUGACUAUGCAAGUACUUGACUGCACCCAGUGACCUUCUGUCACUAAAUUAGAAAUUCAGGUAGUCCGGUACCAAAGUACAGUGAGCUGCUUGCUAGUCACAGGUUGUGGUCUCAGGUCAGAGGGCCAAACUUAUAUCCAUAUCCACUCGGAACAUCUCUUGACAGUAGAGCGUUACGGAAUUGGUCAUGUUCAAUGAAAUGUACUCCUACACUUCACCUGUGUGGCAUACCAAUGUCUCCACACUUCUUGGUUAAGAGGAUAACCAACGUAUAUGUCACACAACGAUCUAAUCUCGAUAAUGCUGUCGUCCUAGUAACAACAUAUCAUUUGGUCGCGAACUGGUUUAAGGACUCGAAGAUAAAUCCUCCUUUAUCAUUAAUAAGUCCUAAGGACUUCAUCAUAUAAGAGUUCAUUUGAAGAUGUAAAAUGAUGAAUAAUGCCAAAUAACACUUUAUUUAAUUUAUCAAUUCAUUUACAAAACUCAAUCAUCAACAUGCUGACGAUUAACAUUUAGGAUACAAUUUCCAACAACUCCCACUUAGCCUAAAGCCAAUCGGCACAGUAUCUAAUACCCAUCUUCGACUUGUGUUCGUUGAACUCUUUGAUGCCGAGGACUUUGGUAAAUAGAUCAGCCUAAUUUUUUUUUG